rnacentral:rRNA from 1 species
AACGCUAGCUACAGGCUUAACACAUGCAAGUCGCGGGGCAGCGGGAAGAAGCUUCGGCUUUUUUGCCGGCGACCGGCGAAUGGGUGAGUAACACGUAUCCAACCUGUCCGUAAGCGCGGAAUAGCCUCCCGAAAGGGAAAUUAAUGCCGCAUGAGGUAUUUUCGGAGCAUUCCGGGAAUACGAAAGGCUUCGGCCGUUUACGGGUGGGGAUGCGUCUGAUUAGGCAGUUGGCGGGGUAACGGCCCACCAAACCGACGAUCAGUAGGGGUUCUGAGAGGAAGGUCCCCCACAUUGGAACUGAGACAUGGUCCAAACUCCUACGGGAGGCAGCAGUGAGGAAUAUUGGUCAAUGGGCGAGAGCCUGAACCAGCCAAGUAGCGUGCAGGAUGACGGCCCUAUGGGUUGUAAACUGCUUUUGCAGGGGGGUAAAGUGAGCUACGUGUAGCUUAUUGCAAGUACCCUGCGAAUAAGGAUCGGCUAAUUCCGUGCCAGCAGCCGCGGUAAUACGGAAGAUCCGAGCGUUAUCCGGAUUUAUUGGGUUUAAAGGGAGCGUAGGCGGAAGUCCAAGUCAGCUGUGAAAGUCUGCGGCUUAACCGUAGAAUUGCAGUUGAAACUGGACUCCUUGAGUACACAUAAGGAUGGUGGAAUUUGUGGUGUAGCGGUGAAAUGCAUAGAUAUCACGAAGAACUCCGAUU